rnacentral:rRNA from 1 species
UACGGGGGGGGCAAGCGUUGUUCGGAAUUACUGGGCGUAAAGGGCUCGUAGGCGGCCAACUAAGUCAGACGUGAAAUCCCUCGGCUUAACCGGGGAACUGCGUCUGAUACUGGAUGGCUAGAGUUUGGGAGAGGGAUGCGGAAUUCCAGGUGUAGCGGUGAAAUGCGUAGAUAUCUGGAGGAACACCGGUGGCGAAGGCGGCAUCCUGGGCCGGUACUGACGCUGAGGAGCGAAAGCGUGGGGAGCGAACCGG